GUAGGUGAACCUGCGGAAGGAUCAUUAACACGUAUCCACGUAUAAACCCAAUGUGCUUAUUUGUUGUUGUACCCUGUCAGAAGACUGAGUGUGAGUGCGGUCGGGAGUGGUGAAGGCGUUUCGGCGCUUUUGACCGACUGUGCUUGGAGGACGCCUCACGGCGUUCUCAGCUUGGGCUUCGCUAGUACAGGUUUUGUUCCUCUCACCAUUGGAACUACCCUUUAUUUCUUUAACCCCUUGUAACAACUAUUCUAAUUCUAUGUAGUAGCUGGAAACGGCUAUUAUAAUAAUACGAAACGUUUGACAACUCUUAGCAACGGAUAUCUUGGUUCUC
rnacentral:misc_RNA from 1 species